UCUUUAAUAGUUUAAUGUAAAACCUUGGUCUUGUAAACCAAUAAUGGUAGUCCUUAAAGAU
rnacentral:tRNA from 1 species